ACUUCCUGGGGAGUACGGCCGCAAGGUUAAAACUCAAAUGAAUUGACGGGGGCCCGCACAAGCGGUGGAGCAUGUGGUUUAAUUUGAAGCAACGCGAAGAACCUUACCAGGCCUUGACAUGCAGAGAACUUUCCAGAGAUGGAUUGGUGCCUUCGGGAACUUUGACACAGGUGCUGCAUGGCUGUUGUCAGCUCGUGUCGUGAGAUGUUGGGUUAAGUCCCGUAACGAGCGCAACCCUUGUCCUUAGUUACCAGCACGUUAAGGUGGGCACUUUAAGGAGACUGCCGGUGACAAACCGGAGGAAGGUGGGGAUGACGUCAAGUCAUCAUGGCCCUUACGGCCUGGGCUACACACGUGCUACAAUGGUCGGUACAAAGGGUUGCCAAGCCGCGAGGUGGAGCUAAUCCCAUAAAACCGAUCGUAGUCCGGAUCGCAGUCUGCAACUCGACUGCGUGAAGUUGGAAUCGCUAGUAAUCGUGAAUCAGAAUGUCACGGUGAAUACGUUCCCGGGCCUUGUACACACCGCCCGUCACACCAUGGGAGUGGGUUGCUCCAGAAGUAGCUAGUCUAACCUUAGGGAGGACGGUACCCAUCCGAGGUGUC
rnacentral:rRNA from 1 species